rnacentral:rRNA from 1 species
AUGGACGCCGCGGCGGCGGUCGCGGCGAAGGUAUGCGUCCUCGAGGCCGAGCUCGCCGCCACGUCCCCCCGCAUUGCCGACCUGGAGGCCCGGGUCUCGCUCCUCGAAGCAGAGAACGCGCGCUGGUGGAAGGCCAUGCCCCGUGGGGAGGUCUCUGGUCCAUUGGUGGAGGGUUUGGGCGGCCCCAAGCCAAAAACAGUCCAGGCGUAUGGUUCUUUUAACGAGGUCGGUGACGGCGAGGAAGAGGGGGUUGCCGCUGAUGCCGGCAACGGGAGGAGCGGCGAGAAGGAUGGUGUUCCCGCGGUGCCGACCCCUAGGAAGCGUGUGGUGCGGGCGGUUACCGGUGGGAGCAAGGAUGGUGAAUUGCAGGUGGGGGUGUCGGGUGCUCCACCCAGUAGGAAGCGUGCACUGCUUAGAAGAAUUGACGGUGAUGAGAAGGAUGACGAGACAGAAGGGCGCCCUGCACCCACCAUAAGGCGCUCGACUCGCUUAGCUGAAAAACAGUCGAAGAAAGCACGAGUCGAACCCAAUGAUCAUGAAGAGAGAGAGGAUGGUUCAGGACAAGAUGGUGGUAUGGGUGAAUCUAAAAAUGAUGCAGAUUGUUCAGAAGAUUCUGACAGCGAGCAGGAGAUGGAUUACACCUUGCUGAAGGAUGUGACCCUGGCGUCAAACAACCGGGUGAGGAUUCGAGUCAGAAUAACGCGCAUUUCACAUUACAUGAGCAAGCAUCAACUAACAGGAAUUCCGCGGCUUGAUUUUGUGAUGCUCGAUGAGCAGGGGGAUAUGAUGGCCGGCCAAGUACCUGCGUGGCUUGCACAGCUCUUUUUGUCACGCAUCAAGGAGGAUGAUGUGUAUUACAUACACCACUUUAAGGUUGUCCACCCUAGUCUGCCCUAUAGGGCUGUUGAUCAUCCUUGCAUGGCAAUGUUCACGAGGGACACAGAGAUAAGCAAGGAUGAACAUGUGCCUGAUAGUUUUCCGGUGUAUGCAUACAAGAUAUCUCCUUAUGAAGUCCUCCGAUCGCGUGAAAACAACACAGCGCUAAUGUCUGAUGCCAUUGGUCUUAUGCUGGAAGUUUCAAAUGUGAAAACUGUUACUGUCAAUGGUGCACCUCGGGCAGUACGUAACGUGUACAUAAGCGAUGGCAGAGAGACGGCUGUUGUUGCUUUGUGGGAGGCACAUGCAAAUCAAUUCCCAGCCGAGACUCUGCAGCAGCAGAUGCAGCAAAGACCAGUUGUCAUUCUCUUUGUUGCCGUGACUGUCAAGCUGUGUGAAGGCCAACUGUGUUUGCAAGGAAGCAAAGUCUGUAGGUGGUAUCCCAAUGCUCCUAUUCCAGAAGUUUUAGCUUUGCAGAACAGUUCUGCUGGAGUUUCACAUGAGGCCAGAUUGGUUGACACAUCACCAACACAGACCCAGACGGGGUCGUGCAUAGCAGGGCUUUCUUCUGGAUGA